UGAAGUGAACGUUUGUCAUAAGUCUGAGGUCG
rnacentral:miRNA from 2 species